UACGUAGGAGACGAGCGUUGUCCGGAGUUACUGGGCGUAAAGGGUGCGCAGGUGGCGGCGCGCGUGGGGGGUGAAAUCGCCCGGCUUACUGGGCGGGGGCCUUCCAGACGGCGUGGCUUGAGCAGCGGAGGGGGACGUGGAAUUCCGGGUGGAGCGGUGAAAUGCGUGAGAGAGUCCGGAAGAACACCGGUGGGCGAAGGCAGAUCUCUGGGCCGUAACUGACGGCUGAGGAGCGAAAAGCAUGGGGAGCCGAACAGGAUU
rnacentral:rRNA from 1 species